GACGAACGCUUGCGGCGUGCCUAAUACAUGCAAGUAGAACGCACAGUUUAUACCGUAGCUUGCUACACCAUAGACUGUGAGUUGCGAACGGGUGAGUAACGCGUAGGUAACCUGCCUGGUAGCGGGGGAUAACUAUUGGAAACGAUAGCUAAUACCGCAUAAUAUUAAUUAUUGCAUGAUAAUUGAUUGAAAGAUGCAACUGCAUCACUACCAGAUGGACCUGCGUUGUAUUAGCUAGUAGGUGAGGUAACGGCUCACCUAGGCGACGAUACAUAGCCGACCUGAGAGGGUGAUCGGCCACACUGGGACUGAGACACGGCCCAGACUCCUACGGGAGGCAGCAGUAGGGAAUCUUCGGCAAUGGACGAAAGUCUGACCGAGCAACGCCGCGUGAGUGAAGAAGGUUUUCGGAUCGUAAAGCUCUGUUGUAAGAGAAGAACGGGUGUGAGAGUGGAAAGUUCACACUGUGACGGUAUCUUACCAGAAAGGGACGGCUAACUACGUG
rnacentral:rRNA from 1 species